rnacentral:rRNA from 1 species
CCUACGGGGGGCUGCAGUGAGGAAUAUUGGUCAAUGGCCGGAAGGCUGAACCAGCCAUGCCGCGUGAAGGUCAGUGCCCUAUGGGCGUUAAACUUCUUUUGUGCGGGAGCAAUAAUGGUCACGUGUGGCCAGACGAGAGUACCCUACGAAUAAGCAUCGGCUAACUCCGUGCCAGCAGCCGCGGUAAUACGGGGGAUGCAAGCGUUAUCCGGGUUUAUUGGGUUUAAAGGGUGCGGAGGCUGUGAGGUAAGUCAGCGGGGAAAUGCCCCCGCUCAACGGGGUGAAGUGCCAUUGAUACUGCCUUGCUGGAAUGCGGAUGCCGUGGGAGGAAUGUGUGGUGUAGCGGUGAAAUGCAUAGAUAUCACACAGAACACCGAUUGCGAAGGCAUCUCACGAAUCCGCGAUUGACGCUGAUGUACGAAAGCGUGGGUAUCAAACAGGAUUAGAUACCCUUGUAGUC